rnacentral:rRNA from 1 species
UACGAAGGGUGCAAGCGUUACUCGGAAUUACUGGGCGUAAAGGGUGCGUAGGUGGUCGUUUAAGUCCGUUGUGAAAUCCCUGGGCUCAACCUGGGAAUGGCAGUGGAUACUGGACGGCUAGAAUGCGGUAGAGGGUAGUGGAAUUCCCGGUGUAGAGGUGAAAUUCGUAGAUAUCGGGAGGAACACCGGUGGCGAAGGCGGCGAUCUGGGUCGAUACUGACGCUGAGGUGCGAAAGCGUGGGGAGCAAACAGG